CGUGAGUGGCGGACGGGUGGGUAACGCGUGGGUAACCUGCCUCAUACAGGGGAUAACGAGUUAGAAAUGACUGCUAAUACCGCAUAAGACACAGCACCGCAUGGUGCAGGGGUAAAAACUCCGGUGGUAUGGGAUGGACCCGCGUCUGAUUAGGUAGUUGGUGGGGUAACGGCCUACCAAGCCGACGAUCAGUAGCCGACCUGAGAGGGUGACCGGCCACAUUGGGACUGAGACACGGUCCAA
rnacentral:rRNA from 1 species